ACCGUUGUUUUUUUUUUAGAAAAGGGGGGCUCUCGGCCUUUCCUUUUUUGGGGAGAUCCCCCCCGGGGUUUUUUAUUUUAUGGUGGGGAAGAUAAAAGCCCCCCCACAAGGCGGGUUUAUUCCGUCCCCCGCCCUGAAGGAGGUUAUUCGGCCCCCAUUGGGGGCUGGAGCCCCGGCCCCAAUUCUCCUGCGGGGAGGCCAGCAGGAGGGAAUUCUUCCCACAAGGGACGAAAAGUUUGAUGGAGACAAUCCCCGCGUGAAUGAAAGAAGGUUUUUCGCUUCGUAAAACUUCUGUUGUUAAAAGAAGAACCCCUUUGAGAGUAACUGUUCAAGGGUUGACGGUAUUUACCCAGAAAGCCACGGCUAACUACGUGCCAGCAGCCGCGGUAAUACGUAGGUGGCAAGCGUUGUCCGGAUUUAUUGGGCGUAAAGCGAGCGCAGGCGGUUUUUUAAGUCUGAUGUGAAAGCCUUCGGCUUAACCGGAGAAGUGCAUCGGAAACUGGGAGACUUGAGUGCAGAAGAGGACAGUGGAACUCCAUGUGUAGCGGUGGAAUGCGUAGAUAUAUGGAAGAACACCAGUGGCGAAGGCGGCUGUCUAGUCUGUAACUGACGCUGAGGCUCGAAAGCAUGGGUAGCGAACAGGAUUAGAUACCCUGGUAGUCCAUGCCGUAAACGAUGAGUGCUAAGUGUUGGAGGGUUUCCGCCCUUCAGUGCUGCAGCUAACGCAUUAAGCACUCCGCCUGGGGAGUACGACCGCAAGGUUGAAACUCAAAGGAAUUGACGGGGGCCCGCACAAGCGGUGGAGCAUGUGGUUUAAUUCGAAGCUACGCGAAGAACCUUACCAGGUCUUGACAUCUUCUGCCAAUCUUAGAGAUAAGACGUUCCCUUCGGGGACAGAAUGACAGGUGGUGCAUGGUUGUCGUCAGCUCGUGUCGUGAGAUGUUGGGUUAAGUCCCGCAACGAGCGCAACCCUUAUUAUCAGUUGCCAGCAUUCAGUUGGGCACUCUGGUGAGACUGCCGGUGACAAACCGGAGGAAGGUGGGGAUGACGUCAAAUCAUCAUGCCCCUUAUGACCUGGGCUACACACGUGCUACAAUGGACGGUACAACGAGUUGCGAAGUCGUGAGGCUAAGCUAAUCUCUUAAAGCCGUUCUCAGUUCGGAUUGUAGGCUGCAACUCGCCUACAUGAAGUUGGAAUCGCUAGUAAUCGCGGAUCAGCAUGCCGCGGUGAAUACGUUCCCGGGCCUUGUACACACCGCCCGUCACACCAUGAGAGUUUGUAACACCCAAAGCCGGUGAGAUAACCUUCGGGAGUCAGCCGUCUAAGUGACAGAGAUGACUUU
rnacentral:rRNA from 1 species